CCUACGGGAGGCAGCAGUUGGGAAUUUUGCACAAUGGACGAAAGUCUGAUGCAGCAACGCCGCGUGCGGGAUGAAGAUUUUCGGAUUGUAAACCGCUUUUAUUUGGGAGUAACUGUUUGAACGUACCAAAUGAAUAAGCACCGGCUAACUCCGUGCCAGCAGCCGCGGUAAUACGGAGGGUGCAAACGUUGUCCGGAAUUACUGGGCGUAAAGCGCAUGUAGGUGGUCUAAUAAGUGAACGAUUAAAUACCGACGCUUAACGUCGGAAAGGUUAUUCAUACUGUUAGACUCGAGGAAGACAGGGGCAGAUGGAACUUUAAGUGUAGGAGUGAUAUCCGUAGAUAUUUAAAGGAACACCAAUGGCGAAGGCAGUCUGCUGGGUCUUUUCUGACACUGAGAUGCGAAAGUGUGGGGAGCAAACGGGGAUUAGAUACCCCGGUAGUCCACACUGUAAAACCGAUGCUCACUAGUCGUUGGUAGGGUAGUCGUACCCCGUUUACCGUACCGACGACUACGACGUAGUGAGCGCCGUGGGNGGUACGACGACAGUUAAACUACAAGAAGUAGAGCGNGNGAGNGCGAAGGCGACACGAGGGAGUUAGG
rnacentral:rRNA from 1 species